GUUUUUCUGUUAGGAACUAUCAAAAAGUUAUCAUUGAAAACACUUAAAAACUACUGCUUAAAACUAAAAUAUUAUUACAUAAAUAAACAUAUACUAAUUAAUUUAACAAAACAUAUCUAUUUACAAAAUAAUUCCGUUAAUAUUGUACGACUUUAAUAAUUAUCACAUUGCGUAGGUAGCCGUACCUACAUUCCACAGCCGAGCCGUUACUCUUCCGGUCGGAUGUUCGACACAAUCCUUCUGCCUUUGUAGCGAGAACACCUCGAUUACUCGUAUAUUUUUUAAAUACGUUUUUUUACUAAUUUUGUCUACGAUAUAAUAAUUUAUAGUGUUGUGUUAUCCCCAUUAAUUGGGGUUCACCCUUCGAGUUCAGCAACCGCUGGACCCACUACCGGUCCUGUACUUACCUGCACCGUUUCACCUUUCGGGUUCUACAACCCGCUGGAUCCACUUUCGGUCCUAUACUUACCCCACCGCUUCUGCUGCCCUGCUGCGCGCGCCGGUGUACCCCGUGUCGUCGUGGGAAGAGUUACAGGGAAGUGGUAGUUUUCCUACUGCACCAAGGUUGCUCAGCCAGUAUCAAAUUACCUGCGACCCAGAGAUCCGAUCUAUGUACUUGCUAGGGAUUUAAUGAAAUAAACUUGGUUUAAUUUCUAUAUACCGUUUUAUUUUCCCUAGUAAGUACAACCUAUUUGAUUCGCGUGAUAGAAUGCGACAAUGGCGCCCAACUAAGGAAAUACUGAGCUGAGUAUCCUUUUUGCUGGUUUUGGCAUUUUUGGUCAUCUUUGGUGUUGGUCUGAUUAUUUUGUCUAGCUCUAAGUGAAUUGUAACUGCAACUUUUGUGUGCUGUGGUUGCUUUGUGGGAAUACCUUACUAUUUCUCUUUCAAGGUGAUUGCAUACAAUUAAAAACUCAAAAUCGAACCUACCACAUCGCACAGAAGGAAAACUUUGAUUUUGCACUGCCAACCUCUGUCUAUCCCUGUGUUUUAAUUGUUGUGUACUUUUGAUAGUAGCAUUUGUUUUCUUGUUAUUUUCCUUCUGCCGUUUGUUGUGUUUUAGUUAUUAAGACUUCAGGUACUUGCAA